GUGGGGAAUAUUGGACAAUGGGCGAAAGCCUGAUCCAGCCAUGCCGCGUGUGUGAAGAAGGUCUUCGGAUUGUAAAGCACUUUAAGUUGGGAGGAAGGGCAGUAAGUUAAUACCUUGCUGUUUUGACGUUACCAACAGAAUAAGCACCGGCUAACUUCGUGCCAGCAGCCGCGGUAAUACGAAGGGUGCAAGCGUUAAUCGGAAUUACUGGGCGUAAAGCGCGCGUAGGUGGUUUUGUAAGUUGGAGGUGAAAUCCCCGGGCUCAACCUGGGAACUGCCUCCAAAACUGCAUGACUAGAGUACGGUAGAGGGUAGUGCAAUUUCCUGUGUAGCGGUGAAAUGCGUAGAUAUAGGAAGGAACACCAGUGGCGAAGGCGACUACCUGGACUGAUACUGACACUGAGGUGCGAAAGCGUGGGGAGCAAACAGGAUUAGAAACCCCAGUAGUCC
rnacentral:rRNA from 1 species